UACUCUUUAAUUAAAGAAUAGGACUGUGUGC
rnacentral:piRNA from 1 species